rnacentral:rRNA from 1 species
CCUACGGGUGGCAGCAGUGAGGAAUAUUGGUCAAUGGACGCAAGACUGAACCAGCCAUGCCGCGUGCAGGAAGACGGCUCUGUGAGUUGUAAACUGCUUUUGUACGAGGGUAAACGCAGAUACGCGUAUCUGUCUGAAAGUAUCGUACGAAUAAGGAUCGGCUAACUCCGUGCCAGCAGCCGCGGUAAUACGGAGGAUUCAAGCGUUAUCCGGAUUUAUUGGGUUUAAAGGGUGCGUAGGCGGUCGGAUAAGUUAGAGGUUAAAUCCCGAGGCUCAACUUCGGAAUUGCCUCUGAUACUGUUCGGCUAGAGAGUAGUUGCGGUAGGCGGAAUGUAUGGUGUAGCGGUGAAAUGCUUAGAGAUCAUACAGAACACCGAUUGCGAAGGCAGCUUACCAAGCUACUUCUGACGUUGAGGCACGAAAGCGUGGGGAGCAAACAGGAUUAGAUACCCUUGUAGUC